UACGUAGGGUGCGAGCGUUAAUCGGAAUUACUGGGCGUAAAGCGUGCGCAGGCGGUUUUCCAAGUCCGUUGUGAAAGCCCCGGGCUUAACCUGGGAAUGGCCGUUGAAACUGGCGAACUGGAGUGUGGCAGAGGGGGGUGGAAUUCCGCGUGUAGCAGUGAAAUGCGUAGAGAUGCGGAGGAACACCGAUGGCGAAGGCAGCCCCCUGGGCUAACACUGACGCUCAGGCACGAAAGCGUGGGGAGCAAACAGG
rnacentral:rRNA from 1 species